GAGUAAUUAUGACUAUAAAACCCUUGUCUGUAAAAUAAGGCAUAGCUUAGCUAAUAGUCG
rnacentral:tRNA from 1 species